ACGGAAGGCAGCAGUGAGGAAUAUUGGUCAAUGGGCGCAAGCCUGAACCAGCCAAGUCGCGUGAAGGAAGACUGCCCUAUGGGUUGUAAACUUCUUUUGCAUGGGAAUAAAGUGAGCCACGUGUGGCUUUUUGUAUGUACCAUGCGAAUAAGCAUCGGCUAACUCCGUGCCAGCAGCCGCGGUAAUACGGAGGAUGCGAGCGUUAUCCGGAUUUAUUGGGUUUAAAGGGUGCGUAGGCGGGAUGGUAAGUUAGUGGUGAAAGUUUGCGGCUCAACCGUAAAAUUGCCGUUGAAACUGGCGUUCUUGAGUGUAAACGAGGUAGGCGGAAUGUGCCAUGUAGCGGUGAAAUGCUUAGAUAUGUCACAGAACCCCGACUGCGAAGGCAGCUUACCAGCAUACAACUGACGCUGAGGCACGAAAGCGUGGGUAUCAAACAGGAUUAGAUACCCUGGUA
rnacentral:rRNA from 1 species